UUGGCCUGGGCGCUGCCUGGGGAGGUAUGCUGGGUGGGUGGUUAGACGCACCUGGGCAGGUCACCUCUGGCUGCUGCAAUGACUGUUUCAGAAAGGAGAAAGCAGAGGCCUCUAACGCAGGAGCUGCCUGUAUGGGGAACAGCCAGCACCAGGGCAGGCAGAUGGGGGCGGGGGCACACCCCCCAAUGAUCCUGCCCCUUCCCCUGCGAAAGCCCACCACACUUAGGCAGUGCGAAGUGCUCAUCCAUGAGCUGUGGAAUACCAACCUCCUGCAGACCCAAGAGCUGCAGCACCUCAAGUCCCUCCUGGAAGGGAGCCAGAGGUCCCAGGCGGCCCCAGAGGAAGCUAGCUUUCCCAGGGACCAAGAAGCCACGCAUUUCCCCAAGGUCUCCACCAAGAGCCUCUCCAGGAAAUGCCUGAGCCCACCUGUGGCGGAGCGUGCCAUCCUGCCCGCACUGAAGCAGACCCCGAAGAACAACUUUGCCGAGAGGCAGAAGAGGCUGCAGGCAAUGCAGAAACGGCGCCUGCAUCACUCAGUGCUUUGAGCCACCCGCAUCUGCUCAGUGCCAGGCCCACCAACCUGCAGCUGGAGACUGGCUCCCUAUAGCAUUUCCUGAUAUUUCCGCUACUUUUAGGCCUGGCUAAAUUCCAAGAUAGAUAACACUCAAGAUAGAUAAAGUAAUUGAUCUCCAAACUGAGAAACUGUUUAUUUUCUAGCUGUUAUUUUGCUAUUUGCCAUUUACAUAAAAGCAC
rnacentral:lncRNA from 1 species